rnacentral:rRNA from 1 species
GGAUGAAUAUUGGUCAAUGGGCGGCAGCCUGAACCAGCCAUCCCGCGUGAANGGAAGAAUGCGCUAUGCGUUGUAAACUUCUUUUCCAGGAGAAUAAAAUGCCAUACGUGUAUGGUACUGAAGGUAUCCUGGGAAUAAGCAUCGGACUAACUCCGUGCCAGCAGCCGCGGUAAUACGGAGGAUGCGAGCGUUAUCCGGAUUUAUUGGGUUUAAAGGGUGCGUAGGCGGAUUAUAAGUCAGUGGUGAAACCUGCAGCUUAACUGUAGACUUGCCAUUGAUACUGUAGUUCUUGAGUGUGGUCAAGGCAGGCGGAAUGUGUAAUGUAGCGGUGAAAUGCUUAGAUAUUACACAGAACACCGAUUGCGAAGGCAGCUUGCUGGGCCAAUACUGACGCUGAGGC